rnacentral:ncRNA from 1 species
CCCGUCGCUCCUACCGAUUGAAUGAUCCGGUGAAGUGUUCGGAUUGCAGCGAUGCUGACGGUUCGCCGCCGGCGACGCUGUGAGAAGUUCAUUAAACCUUAUCAUUUAGAGGAAGGAGAAGUCGUAACAAGGUUUCCGUAGGUGAACCUGCGGAAGGAUCAUUG